GCUGCUUGGUGAUCAUCCACUGUCGUGGGACUUCUUCACAGUGUGGAUCAUAAGGAGCUCC
ensembl:miRNA Mir7663 microRNA 7663